UACAGAGGUGGCAAGCGUUGUUCGGAAUUACUGGGCGUAAAGGGCGCGUAGGCGGCCUUCUAAGUCAGACGUGAAAUCCCCCCGGCUUAACCUGGGAACUGCGUCUGAUACUGGAGGGCUUGAGUGCGGGAGAGGGAUGUGGAAUUCCAGGUGUAGCGGUGAAAUGCGUAGAUAUCUGGAGGAAUACCGGUGGCGAAGGCGGCAUCCUGGACCGGCAUUGACGCUGAUGAGCGAAAGCUAGGGGAGCAAACGGGG
rnacentral:rRNA from 1 species